GACGAACGCUGGCGGCGUGCUUAACACAUGCAAGUCGAGCGGUAAGGCCCUUUCGGGGGUACACGAGCGGCGAACGGGUGAGUAACACGUGGGUGACCUGCCCUCAGCUCUGGGAUAAGCCUGGGAAACCGGGUCUAAUACUGGAUAUGACUCCAUGACGCAUGUUGUGGGGUGGAAAGCCUUGUGCGGCUGAGGAUGGGCCCGCGGCCUAUCAGCUUGCUGGUGGGGUGAUGGCCUACCAAGGCGACGACGGGUAGCCGGCCUGAGAGGGCGACCGGCCACACUGGGACUGAGACACGGCCCAGACUCCUACGGGAGGCAGCAGUGGGGAAUCUUGCGCAAUGGGCGAAAGCCUGACGCAGCGACGCCGCGUGAGGGAUGACGGCCUGG
rnacentral:rRNA from 1 species